CCUACGGGUGGCAGCAGUGGGGGAUAUUGCACAAUGGGGGAAACCCUGAUGCAGCGACGCCGCGUGUAGGAAGACGGUCCUCUGGAUUGUAAACUACUGUUCCCAGGGACGAAGAUGACGGUACCUGGGGAGGAAGCUCCGGCUAACUACGUGCAAGUCGCCGAGGUAAUACGUAGGGAGCGAGCGUUGUCCGGAAUUACUGGGUGUAAAGGGAGCGUAGGCGGGGAUGCAAGUUGGGUGUUAAAUCUACCGGCUCAACUGGUAGUCGCACUCAAAACUGCAGCUCUUGAGUGAAGUAGAGGCAGGCGGAAUUCGUAGUGUAGCGGUGAAAUGCGUAGAUAUUAGGCAGAACACCGGUGGCGAAGGCGGCCUGCUGGGCUUGUACUGACGCUGAGGCUCGAAAGUGUGGGUAGCGAACAGGAUUAGAUACCCGGGUAGUC
rnacentral:rRNA from 1 species